rnacentral:rRNA from 1 species
CACCCGAUCCCUUUCCGAACUCGGAAGUUAAGCCUUCUAACGCCGAUGAUACCUCCCCUCUAAAGGGCGGGAAAGUAGGAAGCCGCCAAGC